rnacentral:rRNA from 1 species
UACAGAGGUCUCAAGCGUUGUUCGGAUUCAUUGGGCGUAAAGGGUGCGUAGGUGGCGCCAUAAGUCGGGUGUGAAAUCUCGGAGCUUAACUCCGAAACUGCAUUCGAUACUGCCGUGCUUGAGGACUGGAGAGGAGACUGGAAUUUACGGUGUAGCAGUGAAAUGCGUAGAGAUCGUAAGGAAGACCAGUGGCGAAGGCGGGUCUCUGGACAGUUCCUGACACUGAGGCACGAAGGCCAGGGGAGCAAACGGG